rnacentral:rRNA from 1 species
UACGAAGGGGACUAGCGUUGUUCGGAAUUACUGGGCGUAAAGCGCGCGUAGGCGGAUCGCUAAGUCAGGGGUGAAAUCCCAGGGCUCAACCCUGGAACUGCCUUUGAUACUGACGAUCUGGAGAUCGGGAGAGGUUGGUGGAAUUCCGAGUGUAGAGGUGAAAUUCGUAGAUAUUCGGAGGAACACCAGAAGCGAAGGCGGCCAACUGGCCCGAUACUGACGCUGAGGCGCGAAAGCGUGGGGAUCAAACAGG